rnacentral:rRNA from 1 species
UACGAAGGGGGCUAGCGUUGCUCGGAAUCACUGGGAGUAAAGCGCACGUAGGCGGGUCCUUAAGUCGGGGGUGAAAUCCUGGAGCUCAACUCCAGAACUGCCUUCGAUACUGAGGAUCUCGAGUCCGGGAGAGGUGAGUGGAACUGCGAGUGUAGAGGUGAAAUUCGUAGAUAUUCGCAAGAACACCAGUGGCGAAGGCGGCUCACUGGCCCGGUACUGACGCUGAGGUGCGAAAGCGUGGGGAGCAAACAGG